UACGUAGGGCGCGAGCGUUGUCCGGAAUUAUUGGGCGUAAAGGGCUCGUAGGCGGUUUGUCGCGUCGGGAGUGAAAACUCAGGGCUCAACCCUGAGCGUGCUUCCGAUACGGGCAGACUAGAGGUAUGCAGGGGAGAACGGAAUUCCUGGUGUAGCGGUGGAAUGCGCAGAUAUCAGGAGGAACACCGGUGGCGAAGGCGGUUCUCUGGGCAUGACCUGACGCUGAGGAGCGAAAGCAUGGGGAGCGAACAGG
rnacentral:rRNA from 1 species